UCUUCCCUCUGGCGGCGUGCCUAAUACAUGCAAGUCGAGCGAACAGACGAGGAGCUUGCUCCUUUGACGUUAGCGGCGGACGGGUGAGUAACACGUGGGUAACCUACCUAUAAGACUGGGAUAACUUCGGGAAACCGGAGCUAAUACCGGAUAAUAUUUCGAACCGCAUGGUUCGAUAGUGAAAGAUGGCUCUGCUAUCACUUAUAGAUGGACCUGCGCCGUAUUAGCUAGUUGGUAAGGUAACGGCUUACCAAGGCAACGAUACGUAGCCGACCUGAGAGGGUGAUCGGCCACACUGGAACUGAGACACGGUCCAGACUCCUACGGGAGGCAGCAGUAGGGAAUCUUCCGCAAUGGGCGAAAGCCUGACGGAGCAACGCCGCGUGAGUGAUGAAGGUCUUCGGAUCGUAAAACUCUGUUAUUAGGGAAGAACAAACGUGUAAGUAACUGUGCACGUCUUGACGGUACCUAAUCAGAAAGCCACGGCUAACUACGUG
rnacentral:rRNA from 1 species